GGCCCCGGGCCCGUCCGGGCUCCGGCUUCCGAGUUGCGACUCCAGCCCCAGCCCCAGCGCGCGAGGGCGCGUGCGCGCGGCGGCGGCGGCGGCGGCGGCGGCGGCGUGGGCUCGCCCGGCUCCUGGUCCCUCCCCCCCGCGCCGGGCACUUCCGGCCGCCGGGAUCCGCCGCCGGGUUUUGGGAGCCGCCGCGCGGCCGUGGGGAGGACGGGGCGCUCCCCUUCCCCGGGGUCCGCCCCUGCGCCCGGCGGCGAGCUUCGCCUCAAAAGCCCGCCGGGGAUGCCUCAGUCGGUGGACGAGGGGCGCGAAGGGCGGCAGCCGGUUCUCGGUGAUUCUCGGGGCCGUGCUGGGCUGGGAAGCCACCGCGCAACUUUUACUGAAGCUCCGUGGCGAGCUCCCACCUCCGCGAAGCGGCCCGAGGCAGCGGCGGACGGUGUCCCGCGGGAGCAGAGGCCACCCGGGACGGUCCUGGAUGGAGGACGCGGGCCUCAGGCCCGGGAGCGGGGGCGGCCGAAGCGCAGCUGAGGCGGCGUCCCGGGACCCCUGGUCGGCUACUGGCGCUGCCGCUGAGGCGCCGCCCGCACAGAGGAGACCGCCUCCCGGAGUGCAGAGAAAGCUUGGCAACACCUUGGGAAUUGAAUAUCUGCAGUAGUGUCCUCGCCUUCAUCUACCUCACAGCAUUUCAAUGCAGUUCACUUGCUGCACUAGGUAAGAUUCCUCCCUCACUUAUUUCCCUCUUUGUUCAGCCUUUGAAUGGACCUAUAAUUCAAGAAAUUGACAGGGAGCAUGAAAGGAUUGGAAAGGCAGCAGAUGGAGUGGAGGGAGGAGGGAAGCAGGAGUCUGGAAAUGGCCUGGAGGCAGCCACUACCUGGUGGCCUAAGCACACAGAUGCAUUGCCUGACUUUGAAGAAGUUUAUACACAUAUUCUCAUGAAUAUUCUCAUAUGACAGUAAUAUCAUACAGUUGCAGAGCACGUUGCAAACAUCUGAAAGAGGUAAUAGAGAAUGUGAGGCAGCCUGGACUUAAGUAUUAUUAAGACUACAAGUGUAAAAACUUAAAUAAUUUACUGUAAAAUAAUCUGUGGGUUUUUCUGUGGGCUUUUA
rnacentral:lncRNA from 12 species